rnacentral:rRNA from 1 species
UUAAGCGACUAAGCGUACACGGUGGAUGCCCUGGCAGUCAGAGGCGAUGAAGGACGUGCUAAUCUGCGAUAAGCGUCGGUGAGGUGAUAUGAACCGUUAUAACCGGCGAUUUCCGAAUGGGGAAACCCAGUGUGUUUCGACACACUAUCAUUAACUGAAUCCAUAGGUUAAUGAGGCGAACCGGGGGAACUGAAACAUCUAAGUACCCCGAGGAAAAGAAAUCAACCGAGAUUCCCCCAGUAGCGGCGAGCGAACGGGGAGGAGCCCAGAGCCUGAAUCAGUGUGUGUGUUAGUGGAAGCGUCUGGAAAGGCGCGCGAUACAGGGUGACAGCCCCGUACACAAAAAUGCACAUACUGUGAGCUCGAUGAGUAGGGCGGGACACGUGGUAUCCUGUCUGAAUAUGGGGGGACCAUCCUCCAAGGCUAAAUACUCCUGACUGACCGAUAGUGAACCAGUACCGUGAGGGAAAGGCGAAAAGAACCCCGGCGAGGGGAGUGAAAAAGAACCUGAAACCGUGUACGUACAAGCAGUGGGAGCCUCUUAAUGGGGUGACUGCGUACCUUUUGUAUAAUGGGUCAGCGACUUAUAUUCUGUAGCAAGGUUAACCGAAUAGGGGAGCCGAAGGGAAACCGAGUCUUAACUGGGCGUUAAGUUGCAGGGUAUAGACCCGAAACCCGGUGAUCUAGCCAUGGGCAGGUUGAAGGUUGGGUAACACUAACUGGAGGACCGAACCGACUAAUGUUGAAAAAUUAGCGGAUGACUUGUGGCUGGGGGUGAAAGGCCAAUCAAACCGGGAGAUAGCUGGUUCUCCCCGAAAGCUAUUUAGGUAGCGCCUCGUGAAUUCAUCUCCGGGGGUAGAGCACUGUUUCGGCAAGGGGGUCAUCCCGACUUACCAACCCGAUGCAAACUGCGAAUACCGGAGAAUGUUAUCACGGGAGACACACGGCGGGUGCUAACGUCCGUCGUGAAGAGGGAAACAACCCAGACCGCCAGCUAAGGUCCCAAAGUCAUGGUUAAGUGGGAAACGAUGUGGGAAGGCCCAGACAGCCAGGAUGUUGGCUUAGAAGCAGCCAUCAUUUAAAGAAAGCGUAAUAGCUCACUGGUCGAGUCGGCCUGCGCGGAAGAUGUAACGGGGCUAAACCAUGCACCGAAGCUGCGGCAGCGACACUAUGUGUUGUUGGGUAGGGGAGCGUUCUGUAAGCCUGUGAAGGUGUACUGUGAGGUAUGCUGGAGGUAUCAGAAGUGCGAAUGCUGACAUAAGUAACGAUAAAGCGGGUGAAAAGCCCGCUCGCCGGAAGACCAAGGGUUCCUGUCCAACGUUAAUCGGGGCAGGGUGAGUCGACCCCUAAGGCGAGGCCGAAAGGCGUAGUCGAUGGGAAACAGGUUAAUAUUCCUGUACUUGGUGUUACUGCGAAGGGGGGACGGAGAAGGCUAUGUUGGCCGGGCGACGGUUGUCCCGGUUUAAGCGUGUAGGCUGGUUUUCCAGGCAAAUCCGGAAAAUCAAGGCUGAGGCGUGAUGACGAGGCACUACGGUGCUGAAGCGACAAAUGCCCUGCUUCCAGGAAAAGCCUCUAAGCAUCAGGUAACAUCAAAUCGUACCCCAAACCGACACAGGUGGUCAGGUAGAGAAUACCAAGGCGCUUGAGAGAACUCGGGUGAAGGAACUAGGCAAAAUGGUGCCGUAACUUCGGGAGAAGGCACGCUGAUAUGUAGGUGAAGCGACUUGCUCGUGGAGCUGAAAUCAGUCGAAGAUACCAGCUGGCUGCAACUGUUUAUUAAAAACACAGCACUGUGCAAACACGAAAGUGGACGUAUACGGUGUGACGCCUGCCCGGUGCCGGAAGGUUAAUUGAUGGGGUUAGCGGUAACGCGAAGCUCUUGAUCGAAGCCCCGGUAAACGGCGGCCGUAACUAUAACGGUCCUAAGGUAGCGAAAUUCCUUGUCGGGUAAGUUCCGACCUGCACGAAUGGCGUAAUGAUGGCCAGGCUGUCUCCACCCGAGACUCAGUGAAAUUGAACUCGCUGUGAAGAUGCAGUGUACCCGCGGCAAGACGGAAAGACCCCGUGAACCUUUACUAUAGCUUGACACUGAACAUUGAGCCUUGAUGUGUAGGAUAGGUGGGAGGCUUUGAAGUGUGGACGCCAGUCUGCAUGGAGCCGACCUUGAAAUACCACCCUUUAAUGUUUGAUGUUCUAACGUGGGCCCCUUACCGGGGUUGCGGACAGUGUCUGGUGGGUAGUUUGACUGGGGCGGUCUCCUCCUAAAGAGUAACGGAGGAGCACGAAGGUUGGCUAAUCCUGGUCGGACAUCAGGAGGUUAGUGCAAUGGCAUAAGCCAGCUUGACUGCGAGCGUGACGGCGCGAGCAGGUGCGAAAGCAGGUCAUAGUGAUCCGGUGGUUCUGAAUGGAAGGGCCAUCGCUCAACGGAUAAAAGGUACUCCGGGGAUAACAGGCUGAUACCGCCCAAGAGUUCAUAUCGACGGCGGUGUUUGGCACCUCGAUGUCGGCUCAUCACAUCCUGGGGCUGAAGUAGGUCCCAAGGGUAUGGCUGUUCGCCAUUUAAAGUGGUACGCGAGCUGGGUUUAGAACGUCGUGAGACAGUUCGGUCCCUAUCUGCCGUGGGCGCUGGAGAACUGAGGGGGGCUGCUCCUAGUACGAGAGGACCGGAGUGGACGCAUCACUGGUGUUCGGGUUGUCAUGCCAAUGGCACUGCCCGGUAGCUAAAUGCGGAAGAGAUAAGUGCUGAAAGCAUCUAAGCACGAAACUUGCCCCGAGAUGAGUUCUCCCUGACUCCUUGAGAGUCCUGAAGGAACGUUGAAGACGACGACGUUGAUAGGCCGGGUGUGUAAGCGCAGCGAUGCGUUGAGCUAAC